rnacentral:rRNA from 1 species
CGGAAUAGCCUCGGGAAACUGAGAGUAAUACCGUAUACGCCCUUCGGGGGAAAGAUUUAUCGGAGAUGGAUUGGCCCGCGUUAGAUUAGAUAGUUGGUGGGGUAAUGGCCUACCAAGUCUACGAUCUAUAGCUGGUUUGAGAGGAUGAUCAGCAACACUGGGACUGAGACACGGCCCAGACUCCUACGGGAGGCAGCAGUGGGGAAUCUUAGACAAUGGGCGAAAGCCUGAUCUAGCCAUGCCGCGUGAGUGACGAAGGCCUUAGGGUCGUAAAGCUCUUUCGCCAGAGAUGAUAAUGACAGUAUCUGGUAAAGAAACCCCGGCUAACUCCGUGCCAGCAGCCGCGGUAAUACGGAGGGGGUUAGCGUUGUUCGGAAUUACUGGGCGUAAAGCGUACGUAGGCGGAUUGGAAAGUAGGGGGUGAAAUCCCAGGGCUCAACCCUGGAACUGCCUCCUAAACUAUCAGUCUAGAGUUCGAGAGAGGUGAGUGGAAUUCCAAGUGUAGAGGUGAAAUUCGUAGAUAUUUGGAGGAACACCAGUGGCGAAGGCGGCUCACUGGCUCGAUACUGACGCUGAGGUACGAAAGUGUGGGGAGCAAACAGGAUUAGAUACCCUGGUAGUCCACACCGUAAACGAUGAAUGCCAGACGUCGGGGGGCUUGCCCUUCGGUGUCACACCUAACGGAUUAAGCAUCCGC